AGAGUUUGAUCCUGGCUCAGAUUGAACGCUGGCGGCAGGCCUAACACAUGCAAGUCGAGCGGUAGAGAGAAGCUUGCUUCUCUUGAGAGCGGCGGACGGGUGAGUAAUGCCUAGGAAUCUGCCUGGUAGUGGGGGAUAACGUUCGGAAACGGACGCUAAUACCGCAUACGUCCUACGGGAGAAAGCAGGGGACCUUCGGGCCUUGCGCUAUCAGAUGAGCCUAGGUCGGAUUAGCUAGUUGGUGAGGUAAUGGCUCACCAAGGCGACGAUCCGUAACUGGUCUGAGAGGAUGAUCAGUCACACUGGAACUGAGACACGGUCCAGACUCCUACGGGAGGCAGCAGUGGGGAAUAUUGGACAAUGGGCGAAAGCCUGAUCCAGCCAUGCCGCGUGUGUGAAGAAGGUCUUCGGAUUGUAAAGCACUUUAAGUUGGGAGGAAGGAUUGUAGAUUAAUACUCUGCAAUUUUGACGUUACCGACAGAAUAAGCACCGGCUAACUCUGUGCCAGCAGCCGCGGUAAUACAGAGGGUGCAAGCGUUAAUCGGAAUUACUGGGCGUAAAGCGCGCGUAGGUGGUUUGUUAAGUUGGAUGUGAAAUCCCCGGGCUCAACCUGGGAACUGCAUUCAAAACUGACUGACUAG
rnacentral:rRNA from 1 species